GAUGAACGCUGGCGGCGUGCCUAAUACAUGCAAGUCGAGCGAACGGACGAGAAGCUUGCUUCUCUGAUGUUAGCGGCGGACGGGUGAGUAACACGUGGAUAACCUACCUAUAAGACUGGGAUAACUUCGGGAAACCGGAGCUAAUACCGGAUGAUAUUUUGAACCGCAUGGUUCAAAAGUGAAAGACGGUCUUGCUGUCACUUAUAGAUGGAUCCGCGCUGCAUUAGCUAGUUGGUAAGGUAACGGCUUACCAAGGCAACGAUGCAUAGCCGACCUGAGAGGGUGAUCGGCCACACUGGAACUGAGACACGGUCCAGACUCCUACGGGAGGCAGCAGUAGGGAAUCUUCCGCAAUGGGCGAAAGCCUGACUGAGCAACGCCGCGUGAGUGAUGAAGGUCUUCGGAUCGUAAAACUCUGUUAUUAGGGAAGAACAUAUGUGUAAGUAACUGUGCACAUCUUGACGGUACCUAAUCAGAAAGCCACGGCUAACUACGUG
rnacentral:rRNA from 1 species